UCGAUUGCGAACGGUUGCCUUCAGUGCUGGCCCGCUCGGGCAAGUGCACGUCGGUGACUUUCAUCCAAUACCCUGUGCACCAUUGGCCUCUGCUAGCUUUGGCCGGCAGAGGAAUUUUACACCUACUCGAAUGUAAUGAAAUUUAUUGUCGUGCGCAAGCACUAAUGUA
rnacentral:misc_RNA from 1 species